GAAAGAUCUCCCAUGCUCAUGGAUUGGCAGGAUUAAUUUAGUAAAAAUGGCCAUUUUACCAAAAGCAAUCUACAGAUUCAAUGCAAUCCCCAUCAAAAUACCAAUCCAAUUCUUCAAAGAGUUAGACAGAACAAGUUGCAAAUUCAUCUGGAAUAACAAAAAACCCAGGAUAGCUAAAGCUAUCCUCAACAAUAAAAGGACUUCAGGGGGAAUCACUAUCCCUGAACUCAAGCAGUAUUACAGAGCAAUAGUGAUAAAAACUGCAUGGUAUUGGUACAGAGACAGACAGAUAGACCAAUGGAAUAGAAUUGAAGACCCAGAAAUG
rnacentral:lncRNA from 1 species